rnacentral:lncRNA from 1 species
GGGAGCUGUAAGAAAAUCACUUCAACCUAUAGAGAAAGAAAGUCAUAGGAGUGGGGGUAAGGGGAAGGGUUAACCUAUAGAAAGAGCCAGAAGAAACUCCUAAGGCAAUUAACCACACACUCUCACCUCUAGGAGGAGCAUCAAGCUUCUUGUCUUCCAGGCAUUCCCAAGGAAAACUUGUAUGAGGAAUCUUCAUCAAGGAGUACUCUGCUUAGCUGCCUUCACCAGUGAGCACAAAGCCACAUUUCAAAGGAGACUGACAAAUUAUCCCCAGCUGCCAGAAGGAGGUUAGCUUUCUGUGUGUUCUGUGUCCCCCUUCUCUGAUAAUUAACAGGUUAACUUUCUAAAGGGAAUUGACAAAAGCAGAAAUUGUCCUUUCACCCAAAUAGGUUUUUUGCUUUUUGAAAAGUUGUGGAUUUGUCAUAUUCCUCUGCAUUCUGACCUUAACUUACAUCAGG